GAUGAACGCUGGCGGCGUGCUUAACACAUGCAAGUCGAACGGAAAGGCCCUACCUUGCUUGGGUACUCGAGUGGCGAACGGGUGAGUAACACGUGGGUGACCUGCCCUUCACUUUGGGAUAACUUUGGGAAACUGGGUCUAAUACUGGAUAGGACCUCCUCCUGCAUGUUGUGGUGGAGAGUUUUUUGGGUGUGGGGUGAGCUCGCGGCCUAUCAGCUUGUUGGUGGGGUAAUGGGCUUCCAAAGGGUCGUCGGGUGUGCGGGCUGGGAGGGUGUACGGGCAAAAUGGGGAUGGGGAAAGGGCCAGACUCCUACGGGAGGGAACAGUGGGGAAAAAUGGCAAAAGGGGGCGAGGCCGAAGCAAGGAAGGCGGGUGGGGGGAGACGGGCUUCGGGUUGGAAAAUCGUUUCGCUAGGGAAGGAACGGUUUGUGACGGUAACGGGAAAAGAAGCACCGGCUAACUACGUG
rnacentral:rRNA from 1 species